rnacentral:snRNA from 1 species
GGAUGUGAGGGCGAUCUGGCUAUGACAUCUGUCACCCCAUUGAUCACCAGGGUUGAUUCGGCUGAUCUUGCUGGCUAGGCGGGUGUCCCCUUCCUCCCUCACCGCUCCAUGUGCGUCUCUCCCAAAGCUGCGUGCUCAGUGGAAGAGGACGACAUCUCAAGUAUAGAAGGAGUGUACCGAGGUCUCCAGUCUUCAGUCCCGGGUAUACGAUAG